rnacentral:misc_RNA from 1 species
GAAAUGCGAUAAGUAAUGUGAAUUGCAGAAUUCAGGGAAUCAUCGAAUCUUUGAACGCACAUUGCGCCCGCCAGUAUUCUGGCGGGCAUGCCUGUUCGAGCGUCAUUUCAACCAUCAAGCCCCCGGCUUGUGUUGGGGACCUGCGGCUGCCCGCAGGCCCUGAAAAACAGUGGCGGGCUCGCUGUCACACCGAGCGUAGUAGCAUACAUUCUCGCUCAGGGCGUGCUGCGGGUUCCGGCCGUUAAACGACCUUCAUAACCCAAGGUUGACCUCGGAUCAGGUAGGAAGACCCGCUGAACUUAAGC